GGGCCACGCUGUCCUGCCCACCGCUCACGGGUUUCUGGCUGGCUGGAUCCUCUUGGAUCCGUGACCCUAGACAGGAGCCUGGCAGACGGGGAGGACCGAACGCGGAAUCUCCCCCGGGACUUAGAGGUCCGGGGACUCUGGAAGUACGGGCGGGCUGUCCCGCAGACCGAGGGCUCCUAGUGGCCUGUGCGUGGGGCGGCUUCCCACGAGGUGGGUCCCCGGAUCUGCAGCGGGGGCAGGUCUCCAGGUUACGACCACGCUCUUCCAUGGUCGGAGAGUCUGGAAUAUGGAAAGUCCAGGGUCUUCCGGGGCUCAGGAUUUGAGAUUCCGAAUUAUCCUUAGUUCUGGAUUUUCUGUAGACCCAAAAUUCUCAAAGGUGUCUUUGGAGGCUGGAAUUUUUUGGCGGGAAGGGGUCCUGGAAAUAAGAGUAUGGAGUGUGGAGUUUACAAUUUGGACUGUGGGUAAGAAGAGGUGGGGCCAUUCCUCCUGAGGUUCAAAGAUCUCCACCUCUUGUGGAGACGUUUCAACUUCCCGGGGGACUUGAGUUCUCGCUUGAUCUCGGAAACCAGCAGGAUAAAAGCCGGGCACCCUGAGGGGAAGGGUUGUGUGGAGGUAAUUUCGGAAUUGGCUUAGCUGGGCCCGAAGCCCCUUCCCGCAUCACUUUGCAGCUUCCUGACCUGCUGCACCGGGAGCCUUCUGCCGCCUGUUUCCCAGCCACCUGUGCUGGAGAAAUGACUGAGAUCAAGAGUAUAUGCUGCUCUUGCAAAGGACCAGAGUUUGGUUCCUGGCACCCACCUGGCUCUCAGUUCUAUUACUGCAGCCCCAGAGGACGCAACCCUGCCUUCUGUCCUCUAUAGGGAACUGCAAUCCGUGUUCACACAGACAACAUAUACAUAAAUAAAAUCUGUUUUUAAAUUUAAAA